AAGAGUAAAGUACUUCCGCUUCCUUAGGUGGAGCUGGAAAGGUGGAGGCGGAAGUGACUGAUCAAUUCAGGGGCGUGGGGUUCGUUUAGGUUUUGCCCUGUGUAUGACCUCGUUUGGAGCCAUGAAACCAGGGCACUGAAGAUAUUAUUUAUAUUCAGAGGCUAUGUUGGUUUGGAGAAGGAAAGGUCACCAUGUGUGAUGACUACAUCCAAAGAGAGUGAGUGGCUUGAGACAUUGGUAGUAUGUGUAUCUGAUCAUAUCAAUAUGUUAAAAUGACGUUCAAAGUAUGAUCUACCUCAGAAUAAUCUAGAUGUCUGAGGAAUAGUCUUAGUGGAUUAUCCCAAACUUGACACAUUUUUUGCAAAAUGCUAUACAAAAAGAAGAUACAUGCGAUUAUGACAAGAUUCUCCACUUGGUGUGACCAGUCUCAUACAACCCAAGGCUGUGUGUCCAAAGGCAACUGUACUGAUCUUGACAAUAAUCAAAAGGUAGCCAGGUGCAUCGGGGAAAGCACUGACAUUGGAGUCAGACAGACUGAAGUUCAUAUCUGAUUCUGCUAUAUGACAACGUGUGGGCUAUGUGGCUAACUUCUCAGAGCUUCAGUUUUCUCAAGGGCAAAAUGAAAAUAAUAGAAAUAAUAGAAUCCACCUCACAGGGCUGUGGUGAGAAUUGGAGAUGAAGCACAUACAGCAUAUUACAUCAACUAAACACAUGCUAAAAAUUAAAGGGGAUGAAAGAUACAUUGGUCCCUGCAGUGGGAAGUUUCCUUGACAAUGCAAUUAUUGAUUCCAGAAGGCUGAACAAAUGUUGACAGAGGAACACACUGUUUGCUUAUGUCUAAUCUUCCCAUCUGACUUAUAUAAAUGUCACAAAUGAAUCUCAGACAUGUGCCCAAUAUCAAAUAUCCAUACGAUGGCCCUGGAAAGAGGCAAUCUACAUUUAUGGCUGAUGAGAAGAUGGAUUUUUAGCUUGAAAGAAACUUAUUACUGGGGAGAGGAAGUAUAAAUGAAUGGAGAGAGCUAUGAAGAGGUUGAGAGAAUACAGCCAAGGCACAUGACAGAAUUGCUCUGUUGAAGUUUUGCAAGGUCAAAUGACUCACUUUGUCUAAUGGAACGGGAACGAACAAUUUUUUUGUGUCACGUUUGAACAGAUACCUUUGAGAAGUUUAUGAUUCUCCAAGUUCUCUUUCUCCUACUGUGGCACCUACUGACAAGAUAAAUGUGUAGAGGUUCCUGAGUCUAGGGGCACUGGAACCAGCUGACUGAUCUAUGGAAGUUCCCUUGGUCUCCAUUUGUUUAGAAAAGGGAUGAAGAAACUGAGGCCCACAGAAGGUGGGUGAUACCUGCAAAAUCACAAGCUUUCAUGGUGAAAGAAGAGGGCAAAACUCAACCCGUCUCUUUAGACUUGGGAAGAAUAUGAAAGGACCAGGAGGGACACCUUUCCUAAUAACCUAGCUGAUGGUUCACUUAUUGUAAGCACAUUCUCAAACAAGAGGCUGGAAAGCUGAAAAAUGACAUUCCCAGACUCCAUUGAAAUUAGAUUUCCAGAGGUGAUUUAUGUUCCACACAUCAGAUGUAUAUGCUCAAGAUUUGUUUAACAGGGAAGGAGGCAGUGGUGUGUGGGUCCCUUUUGCUCAUGUGAAUCUUACAGAGUUGUCUCACUAAGCCCAAAUUUGUCUAACUGGCCUUAUUUCCCUGGAGUAUAUCCUGGAAGUUUCCAUUCAAGCCAAUUUAAGUUACUUUAAAUUAGGAAAGGCAGAAAACAAAAGCCCAAACCUUUGUAAAGGAGGAGGAUUUGCUACAUUGUUCUCAAUUCAUCACAGAAGAGGAUGAAACUGAGUGAUUACACUUGCUGGAGAGAAAAAAAGUCCUUCCCCCGCUCACCCCAAAUAAAGCAUUAACUUUAUGUUAAUCCAUGAA
rnacentral:lncRNA from 1 species